rnacentral:rRNA from 1 species
GAUGAACGCUGGCGGCGUGCCUAAUACAUGCAAGUCGAGCGAACGGACGAGAAGCUUGCUUCUCUGAUGUUAGCGGCGGACGGGUGAGUAACACGUGGAUAACCUACCUAUAAGACUGGGAUAACUUCGGGAAACCGGAGCUAAUACCGGAUAAUAUUUUGAACCGCAUGGUUCAAAAGUGAAAGACGGUCUUGCUGUCACUUAUAGAUGGAUCCGCGCUGCAUUAGCUAGUUGGUAAGGUAACGGCUUACCAAGGCAACGAUACAUAGCCGACCUGAGAGGGUGAUCGGCCACACUGGAACUGAGACACGGUCCAGACUCCUACGGGAGGCAGCAGUAGGGAAUCUUCCGCAAUGGGCGAAAGCCUGACGGAGCAACGCCGCGUGAGUGAUGAAGGUCUUCGGAUCGUAAAACUCUGUUAUUAGGGAAGAACAUAUGUGUAAGUAACUGUGCACAUCUUGACGGUACCUAAUCAGAAAGCCACGGCUAACUACGUG